CUCCAACAUGCAUGAACCUUGAGGACAGGAUGCGGAGUGAAAUCAGCCCGUCACAAAGAGACAAAUACUGUUAUGUUAUGCAGAGUUCC